UUGAAGUGCUUGGUCCUUCCAUUAAACAAUCUGUUGGAGAACUUAGCCGUGAAAAUGAAAAAUGAACGAAAAAGAUCCGUAUAAUGUAAUAUUGAUUAGAUAAGACUAAGAUUUAGUUGUGUUGUUGUUACACUCAACAUUACUUCUGGUUUUUGUCAAUUGUCCUUAUAUAGUUAAAAAGUUGUAUGACUGUUUUAAGAUAAAAAGCGAGAUUUAGCAAGUGUACUAGUUCUAGAGAACUUAUUUCAGUUGAAAGAUAAAACGGAUGUGAUUAGAACAAAGUAGAUACACAUUGUUAGGACUUCUAAUAACCAAAUUGAAAAGUGAAGCCAUGGAUAUGGUAAAUAUAUUCAAUCUGUAUGAUGCGCUUUACAAUUGUGUUCUUCAUUCUAUGCCCUAUCUAAAACAACAUUUUGCUAAAUGUUGAUUAUGACUCAACAAACAAGAAGCUGUUGGUUUCCACUUUCUCGGUGCAAAGAAGAAGUCGAACAACAACAUGAAGGAAUUGAUAGGAUCAAUGCUUUGUGAAGAUCUCCGGAAGUUACGCUUUUCCUUAUUAGCGAAAUGAUAUAGUCCAUGAAGGCUGAGUCACAAGGUAAUGUAAUAGGAGCACCACUCGGAAGACCAAAUUCUUCUUCAGACAUGUUCAAAAGUUGCCUAAUGAUCUCAUUUUCAAGAUAAACCAAGGGAAUCAUGAAACGCUUUUGAUCAGCUGUAUAUACUGCAAAAUGUCCUUUUUCAAUUAUAGACGAUGAAGACGUACCACAAUAAUCUGCUUCACUGCCAUUUCUUGAAAAUGAAAUCCUCUUCCUCUGCAUAGCUGCAAACUUCUGCCAUUUCCUAACCAUUUUGAUGAGUUUCUUGGUACUAAUCAUUGCCAUUUUCUUUUCGGAAGAUUGGAAAUAAGAAAUUUAGAGACGUUUGGUGGCUGAAUUGAUAACACUUGUGUUUGAUGAUGAAAAGGCUCAAGAAAGAAGGCUUAUUUAUACAAGUUGAGCUGAUAAGUUUGUUAGGCAAAGCCAUGUGCUGAUGUCUGUUGGCCUACUUGGUAUUUCUCAGCAAUGGCUAUAAUUUGAGAAACAAAACCAUGUUCUGCUCUCUUCUUUGUCAUGUAGAUUGGUGACAUUUAGAUUUCCAUCUAGGCAUCAACUCAUCGAUUCUUGUGGAUUUUAUUUCAAAUAAAAGAGGGGCCUAAUGUCAUUCUUCUACACAUUCCUGUCUGAAUACUUAAUGAUAAUAGAGUAAGCAAAACCAUGUGAAGCUUCAUGUCCCAAUGUCUCUCACUAGUGGCCACCAAUUCCUCUUCACCAUUAAACUUGGAUAUGAAAUUUACCACUAACUUUGUAUAUAUACACACACAUAGAAUGCUUUUUUAUGCAAAACACAAGUCUCACUUGCUGUGUAUUUCUCAAAAUCCUUCAUUCUUUCUUCAAAGUCAUCAUUUGAAGUUACAAAAGAGUCUCACUAUGGGUAUCAAAAUGAGUCCCCUUAUUCAAGGUACAAGAAUCUUGAGGAGAUUUUCAAAUUCCAUGGGUGUUCCUAAAGGUCAUUGUGCAGUAUAUGUGGGAGAGAGCCAGAAGAAGAGAUUCAUCGUGCCAAUAUCUUACUUGAGCCAGCCUUUAUUUCAAGACUUGUUAACUCAAGCUGAAGAACAGUUUGGCUUCGAUCAUCCAAUGGGUGGUCUAACAAUACCUUGCAAGGAAGACGUGUUUGUUGAUCUCACAUCCCGCUUGAGAUCAUGAGUAGUAUCAAAGUGCAAAGUCUCUUGCAUAGAAAUUUUGUAAAUUAGUAGACUUAGAUACUACAAAUAGGAGAUUUAAAGAGGAAGUUUUACUGUAUAGUUUAGAAACACAAAAUCAAUAGAAUUUGUUUCCAUGAUCAAUUUAUGAAUAGCAGAAGUGUUUUUUCUUAUCAUCACUAUUUUGUUUACAUUUUCUAAAACAAUGCUGUUAUUCAUUAAAAAUUGCACUGUGUGGAUCAAACUAUCGCAUCUUAGAAAGUAUCGUUUGUGAUAAGUAACAAGAAAUUACUUAGCUGAACCAAGUCAUCAGCUUUAUCUAUACUUGAGUUUUUAAAUUUUUAGGAUGUCCUUGAUUCCAAGUUAUGAGAAUUGAGAAGCAAUGAGGCCUAGUAUUCAACAAGUAUAGUGUAAGACUUGUUCAUAAACUUGUUCAUGCACACUGCAAAAACUUCAUUUUUCUGUGCAUUUCUCGAAAAUCAUAUCUUGAAAGAACGUCUGCAGUUAAUAUUAUACUUGAGUCUUCCUUUAUAUUUCAAGAUUUGUUAGCUCAUAUUGUAUGUCACCUGACUGGUUCUGAAAAUACAACAAAAUUUUUACACCGGAUGCAAACUUUGAAGACAAGCCCUGCUAUACUUAAGAUACUAAUGCAUAUACAUAAAAGGAGGCAUAUUUGAUUGAUUGAUCAUUAGACCUCAUUCGAUCAAGGAGGUACUGCAGUAAGUGAAAUGCGUGGGAUAAAAAAAGUAGUGUUAAUACAUAAGAGGUACCAAUGGAGGAUUAGAUUGUUUAAGUCUUCUCAUCACCAAAUGUAAAAAAGAAAGCUGUGGAUAUGAUAAAUUUUCUCUUUGAUAAAAUAAUAUUCAAUCUGUAUGAACAGCUUUACAAUUGUGUUCAUCAGUGUAUGCCCUAUCUAAAAAAACUAUUUUCAGCUAGCAUGUAUUAUGACUCAACAAACAAAAAGCUGUUGGUUUCCACUUUCUCGGUGCAAAGAAGAAGUCGAACAGCAAGAAGAAGGAAUUGAUAGGAGCAAUGCAUUGUGAAGAUCUCCAGCAGUUAUGCCUUUCUUGAUUAGCAAAAUGAUGUAGUCCAUGAAGGCUGAAUCACAGGGUAAUGUAAUAGGACCACCAUUCAGCAGCCCAAAUUCUUCUUCAGACAUGUUCAAGAGUUGCCUAAUGAUCUCAUUUUCAAGGUAAACCAAUGGAAUGACAAAACGUGCUUGAUCGACUGUAUAUACUACAAAAUGGCCUUUUUCAACCGUAGACGAUGAAGACAUACUGCAACUAUCUGCGUCGCUAACAUUUCUUGGAAAUGAAAUCCUCUUCCUCUGCAUGGCUGCAAAUUUCUGCCAUUUCCUAGCCAUUUUGAUGAGUUUCUUGGUACUAAUCAUUGUCAUUUUCUUUCUAGAAGAUUGGAAAUAAGAAAUUUAGAGACCUUUGAUGGUUGAAUUGAUAAUGCUUGAGUUUGAUGAUGAAAAGGCUCAUGAAAGAGGGCUUAUUUAUACAAGAAGAUCUGAUAAGUUUGUUAGGCAAAACCAUGUUAGAUGCCUGUUAGCCAUGUUGAUAUGGGGCCUAAAAUUUGUGGAUGAAGCUAUGUUUGAAAACAAAAGAAGAUAAGUUUAUAAAUGGUAUUUCUCAGCAAUGCCAUAUUAUUUGAGACAAUUAAAUGAACAAUUGCAGGUGAGAAGCAAAACCAUGUUCUUCUCUCUUCUUUGUCAUGUAGAUAGGUGACCUUUAGAUUUCCAUCUUUGCAUCAACUCCAUUGGGGCCUAGUGUUGUUCUUCAACAAAGCCAUGUGGAACUUCAUGUGCCAUUGUCUCUCACCAGUGGCCAUUAAAUUUUGAGAUGAAACUUACCACUAACUUCGUAUAUAUACACAUACAUAGAAAUCAUUUUAUGCAAAACACAAGUCUCAUUGGUGUGUGCUUCUCAAAAUCCUUUGAACUCAUCAUCUGAAGUUAAAUAAAGUAUCUCACUAUGGCUAUCAAACUGAUCAGUCCCCUUGUUCAAGGUACUAGAAUAUUGAGGAGGUUUUCAAAUUCCGGAGGUGUUCCAAAAGGACAUUGUGCAGUAUAUGUAGGAGAGAGCCAGAAGAAGAGAUUCAUCGUGCCUAUAUCAUACUUGAGCCAGCCUUCGUUUCAAGACUUGUUAACUCAAGCUGAAGAACAGUUUGGCUUCGAUCAUCCAAUGGGCGGUCUCACAAUACCUUGCAAAGAAGAUGUGUUUGUUGAUCUCACAUCCCGCUUGAGACGAUGAAUUGUAUCAAAGUGCAAAUUCUCUUGCAGAGAAAUUUUGUGUAGUAGUAGUAGGACUUAGAUAUUAGAAAGAUGAGACUUAGAGAGGAACUUUUACUGUAUAGUUCAGAAACACAAGAAUCUAUAGAAGUUGUUUCCAUGAUCAAUUUAUGAAUAGCAGAAGUGUUAUUUCUAAUUAAUCUCUCCCUUAUUUUUUUAAAGUUUAUCUACUAAAAUAAUUAGGCCUCCAUAUACAACAGUGUCACAGUGUUGUGCAAACUAGCACAUCCAAGAAAGUAUAAUUUAGCUGAAUAAGAAUGGCAUCUGUGAUGAGUAACGGAACGAAGUCAUCUGCUUUAUCAUAGACUUGAGGCAUUAAAUUUUGUAGGAUGCCCUUAAUUCCAAGUAUGAGAAGCAAUGAGGCUUAAUAUAUACUUGUAUAAACUUUUGGAUUCAUAAACUUAUAUAUACACAGUGCAAAAAGUUUUCCUUUUUCUGUGCAUUUCUCAAGAUUAUGUGUUACUUGUUCAUUCUUAUAUCAUCAUCUAGAGUUAAGUAUGUCUUUAGUUGUUCUAAUAUCAUACUUGAGUCUUCAUUUUAGAUUUCAAGACUUGUUUUAUCACCUAAUUGCUUCUGAAGAUACCACAAAAUGUUCACACAGGAUGCUAACUUAGAAGACAAGCCCUGCAAUACUUCAGAUGCCGUUGUCUCUCAUCUCUGCCACCCUAAUGCAGAUACUUCAGCAAAGCCUGAUUAGAACAUACUCAUGCAUAUACAUAGAAGGAGGCAUAGUUUAGUGAAAUGCUUGCAAUAAUAAAAGUGGUACCAAUUCAGGAUUAGAUUUUCAAGUCUUCUCAUAACCAAAUGUAAAAGUGAAAACAGUGGAUAUAUUCAAUUUUCUCUGAUAAAAUAAUAUUCAAUCUGUACGAUGUGCUUUACAAUUGUGUUCUUCAUUCUAUGCCCUAUCUAAACUAGAAUGUAAUUAAAAAAAAUGUUGAUUAUGACUUAACAAACAAGAAGCUGUAGGUUUCCACUUUCUCGGUGCAAAGAAGAUGCCGAACAGCAACUAGAAGGAAUUGAUAGGAGCAAUGCUUUGUGAAGAUCUCCUGCAGUUACGCCUCUGCUUAUUAACGAAAUGAUAUAGUCCAUGAAGGCUGAAUCACAAGGUAAUGUAA
rnacentral:lncRNA from 1 species